UUGAUACUGUGAUGCUAGGAUUGAGUAGCUGUGAGCGGAAUGUCUGGGGUAGCGGUGAAAUGCUUCGAGAUCACACAGAAUAUGUAUUGUGAAAGCAGGUCACAAAGCCAAGAGUGACGCUGAGGCACGAAAGUGUGGGGAUCAAACAGGAUUCGAUACCCUGGUAGUCCACACGGUAAACGAUGAUACUCGCCGUCGGCGAUAGACCUUCGGCAGUUUAGCGAAAGCGAUAAGUUAUCCACCUGGGGAGUACGACCGCAAGGUUGAAACUCAAAGGAAUUGACGCGGGCCCGCACAGCCGGAGGAACAUGCAGUCUAAUUGCAUGAUACGCGAGGAUCCCUACCCGGGCUAGAACGGUGCAUGAAUGUUCAAGAGAUUGGACCGUCCCCCGGUACAGUUAUUGAGGUGGUGCAGAGUUAAACCACGUUCUCCCCCGGAGGUGUGGGCCUCAGUCACUUCACGAGAGCAUC
rnacentral:rRNA from 1 species